UACGUAGGGGGCUAGCGUUGUCCGGAAUCAUUGGGCGUAAAGAGCGUGUAGGCGGUCCGGUAAGUCCGCUGUGAAAGUCGGGGGCUCAACCCUCGAAUGCCGGUGGAUACUGUCGGGCUAGAGUGCGGAAGAGGCGAGUGGAAUUCCUGGUGUAGCGGUGAAAUGCGCAGAUAUCAGGAGGAACACCUAUUGCGAAGGCAGCUCGCUGGGACGUAACUGACGCUGGAGACGCGAAAGCGUGGGGAGCAAACAGGAUUAGA
rnacentral:rRNA from 1 species